GCUGUCACGGGUCAGCCCAGUAGAGGCAGAGCUGCCCACUGGACCUGCUGCAAAUGGAUUUUGGAAAGCAGAUUACAUGAUGACCCAGGUCAGCACUUGGGAGCCUGUCUGGCCACCUCCCCAUGCCUGCCAGUCAUAAAGGAAACUCCUAUGGGCUGGUGACUCGGCAGUUGGUCUGCAAACUGCCCGUGACUGUUGUCUUCUAAGGUACCAAGCUCAGGCUCUGUAAUUGAGAGAGUUAGGACUGCCUGGUGUAUCUGCCGACAGCUCCCCACACCUCUGCACAGAGGAGCUGAGUGUGCAUGGCUCUCCUCACCCAAUCCUGCAAGCCAGCACUGGAGAUUGAACCCAGGGCCUUCACACUGAGCUCCAUCUGCAGACAUUGCUAAGUCACUAAGUUUUACUAAGUUACCCAGGAUGGGCUGGAACUUGCGACCCCCUGGUUUAGCCUUCCAGAGGUCUACAGUUACAGGAAGGGAUCAUCACCAGUGGCUUACAAUUUCUUUUUAAAAGGAGCUUAGCUUUACUUUUGAAAACCAUCCUCUUAAAGAGGAAGACUUCUGGAGCCUCUCAUACUCCAGUUUCUGUGCUCCUGGCCAUGUGCAUCACCCCAGGGUCUGACUGUGUCCUCUGCUGGUGUUCAGCUCUGGGAGCGGCCACUGAGUCCACUACUAUGUCACCAAGAGCAUUCCUUCCACAGCCCAUGAAAGCUGUGUCAAAUUGAGGACUCCACUGCCUUCCAGCUGAACGUCCUGACUUGAAUCUGAGUUCUACUGCUUACCCAACUCCAGCUCCGCAGGGGCUUCCUGACUCAACCCUGGCCUCCUUGUCUGUGAAUGGAGAGCACAAUUCCCACCUGUCUGGGUUGUCAUGGAGACUUAGCUUCAUUCUACCUGUCAAUCACAGAACGGGCUGGCUCAGGUCCUUCAUCAGUAUUGGCUUCUCUCAUUCCUCUGCACAGCAGCCCUCUGGGGACAAAGUCAGUGGGGAUGUCCUCUGUGUCCAUGCCAGAGCCAGGAGGAAACCGAGAGCCCUUGGCCUGCCAUGUGCACUCUCAGAUGGAACCUUCUGGAAGGAGGGCCUCUGGAUCUCUUACCUCAUUAUGAGUGACCUGAAACAGAGCUGGCCUCACAGUGAGGGGGAGCAUGGUUGGGUAUUUAUUAUUCAGUGAGCUCACUGAGAAACAAUGUUUUGUAGGACUGAGGAUUGUCAGGGGGAAACAAAAACAUUUCCUCACUAUUGUUGAAGAGCAUUAUAAAAUAGACAAUUACAGUCAUAAAAAUAGCCAGCAUAACAUGGGGCUCAUCCUUUGUUAGGCUCAUGCUAUGUAUUAACUGCUGUGGGUGCAGAAUUUAAUCUGGUGUUGGGGGUACUUUUUCCCUUCUUCUUUGCAUAGACAAGAAAACUGCAAUCUAGCAAGGUUCAGCAGCAACCCUGAUGUCUUGAUUCUUGAUUUUUUUUAUCAUAUUAAAUCUGUAGCUCCACUAGAAUCUGGUUUUUUCUUCCUCCACUCCUGACAUGUCAUUGUUUCUCAUGGGCUUCUUUCUCUUUAAAAAAAAGCCAUCUCCCCCUUUUCUUGGUCUUGUGUGACACAGGAUGGGUCACAUCCUAUGUUGCAAUUGUGUUGAGCAUGUCCCCCAGAACAUGGCUGCUCCAUCUCAAGGUUUCAGGUGCUGACCAUCAUCUCUCUUUACAGGGACAGCAUCUCUGUGUGAGUACACAGACCAGAGCAAGGCACAAGGUCACACAGAGACUCAGUGCCCAUGGUUGCCGAUCCAGGCAGAGAAAGGAGACUGGAGCCAGACUGCCCCUGCUCCCGUCACAGUCCCCAGGGCAUGUGGCCUCUCCAUGGCUCCUUCGUAUCUACUUCUGAAAACCAACAAAUUCCUCUCCUGUUUUAACAGAUCCAUGCACCUUCUCACCCCCAAAGAAGGCAGGCUUUCUCUUCUACAGGCUGCCUUGUUUUUGCAGCUGGGCUCAGCAUCCUGUAGGCUCAGCAAACAAAAAUAUUCUUGUCACUCUCGAGUUCAGAUCCACCCACCACUGCCGUGUCUGCUGACCUCAAUAUUUCAAAUCACCAGCUUUUUUCCAUCUGUGACGCUGCCCCUGGUAGAAACCACCAUCGCAUGCCUUGAGGAUGCCCUGGAGGAUGUGGAACUGCUCCUCCAUGUCAAUCACAUCCACCCCCGUCCUUCUCCACUGGGGCCAUGAGCUUUCUCCAAGUUGCAGCCCUCGCUCUUCUGCUGAGAGCACUUCUGGUCUCUAAUCCCAUGCUCAGGGAGACCUGGGCUCCUCUUCCUGACCUGCAAGUCCGGUCAUUUCCUGUUCCUUGCCCCUCCCAGAUGUUCCGCGGGCUCUUCCCUCUGGCUCCAUCUCACCUCCUAGCUCAGGGGAAAGGCCUUUCCCCUAGACCCUAUCACUGUCUGUCAUGGUUCUCUCAGCUCCCCACCAACUCAGAUGUGGAGCCUGGUGAGGAUUGCUGUCCACUCCCUGCCUAUCCUCUUUCCCUUAUCAGCCCUGGGAAGGCAGAGGAGUUGUCCUGUUCUCUGCUGCAUUCCCAGCAACUGGAAUUGUGUUGGGUGCCUAACAUGUGGUCAAAAACUUUGGCAAGAAGAAGAAGAAGCACGGAGUCUUGUGUGUGACCUGGACCCACCAUGAGUUCUCUUAAAGCCACUUCUGAGGAGACCUCAGAGGUCCAGAUCCUGUUCAUCAUGACUUCUGUUCAUCGUGAUUCCCACUACAACAUCCAUGCUACACAACUUCUGUCCAUCAAGACUCCCGCAGAGCAUGGCUUCCGUGCAGCAAUGCUGGUCAGUACAUCUGGACUCCACCUGCAGCUGAUGGUUUUGCUUCCAGGAGCUGCCUCGAGGAGGGAAAACCUGCAGUUAGACAGACAAGAUGCUGGAGAACACUGAAGAGAGAGAUAAAGGCAAACUUGGAGGAGAAUGAGUCCACCUUCUUCUCUUCAACCACCGCAGGCCUGGCAGCAGUGUUAGUCUGACAGAGACAAAACAGGGACUCCAAUGACGCCUUUGAGCUCUUUCAUGUCCAUGGAGCACAAAUGGUAGCAGAGACUGAAGGAGUCUGACCACGCCCUCCUCGCUGGCCGGAGACUCCUUUAAGUCUCUUCCAUCCUGCUAUGCCUUCACCUCUGCUAAGAAGGUGCAAUUGGUGUUCAUAACAUCCGGUGAGCACAGCCACACCCCCACUGCCCGUCACUCUUCACUCCUGCUCCUGCCAGGCAGCCACCUCUCCUCCCUGAGCUCUCCCUGCUCUCCUGGAAGUCCAUCCUGGCCUUUCCUUUCACAGCCCCCCUUUGUGCUCCUGACCAUAUCAGAAACCUCACAGCCUGCACCAGAGAUAUCAGUCUGCUCUAAGGGCCAGGUGGGCUCUCUCGCUUUGUUUUGAAAUAAACCUGCCCUGUCCGCCUUUU